rnacentral:rRNA from 1 species
UAGCGAAAUUCCUUGUCGGGUAAGUUCCGACCCGCACGAAAGGCGUAACGAUUUGGGCACUGUCUCAACGAGAGACUCGGUGAAAUCAUAGUACCUGUGAAGAUGCAGGUUACCCGCGACAGGACGGGAAGACCCCGUGGAGCUUUACUGUAGCCUGAUAUUGAAAUUCGGCACAGCUUGUACAGGAUAGGUAGGAGCCUUUGAAACGUGAGCGCUAGCUUACGUGGAGGCGCUGGUGGGAUACUACCCUAGC